UUGGAGGGCAAGUCUGGUGCCAGCAGCCGCGGUAAUUCCAGCUCCAAUAGCGUAUAUUAAAGUUGUUGCAGUUAAAAAGCUCGUAGUUGAAUUUCGGGAUUGGCGCAUCGGUCGUGCCUCACGGGGUAUGAACUGGUGCAGUCAAUUUCUCACCUUCUGGAGAACCGCGAUGUCCUUAAUUGGAUGCCGCGGGGAACCAGGACCUUUACUUUGAAAAAAUUAGAGUGUUUAAAGCAGGCAUUUUUGCUUGAAUACAUUAGCAUGGAAUAAUAAAAUAGGACGGCAUGGUUCUAUUUUGUUGGUUUCUAGGACCACCGUAAUGAUUAAUAGGGAUAGUUGGGGGCAUUAGUAUUCAAUUGUCAGAGGUGAAACUCUUGGAUUUAUUGAAGACUAACUACUGCGAAAGCAUUUGCCAAGGAUGUUUUCAUUAAUCAAGAACGAAAGUUAGGGGAUCGAAGACGAUCAGAUACCGUCGUAGUCUUAACCAUAAACUAUGCCGACUAGGAAUCAGACGAUGUUAAUUUUUUAAUGACUCGUUUGGCACCUUACGGGAAACCAAAGUGUUUGGGUUC
rnacentral:rRNA from 1 species